GGUUGAUGAGCCGAGAAAAGGAGAGGGCUGAAGGAGAGGUGAGUUUACCUGAGGGCGGUGAGCAGGGCUCUGCGGUCAAGUGGACCUGGAUGGCAACCCUGGGGGCGAUCCUGGACACUGACUGCUUCUCUGGACCUCGGUAACAGUACUCUAAAAUCCACAUGUCAAAUUGCAGAGAAGGCUGCCUCGUGCAUCACUUGCCUCGCAGACCAAAUGGAUCUUGGAACAAGCCAAUGGGCCAGCAGAUUUGCCCCUGAGUCUGAACCUUACUUGAUUCACUGAAGUCUUUGGAGUUCUCCUGCAUGUCUCAGCUGUGCUAAGGGGUAGAGCGUGAAGAUAGAUGGUGAAUUGCACUCAGCAUCCAUUCCAGUUUCUUUCUUCACAAACUGGGGAGGCUGGAAAACCAAAAACUAGAUUUCCUUGCACCUUGAGGGUCCAGGUGUCAAUUACAUUCUGCCAGUUAUAUGCACUCUCCCAAGAUUUGGAAGGUAACGUGGGGAAGGGGGCAUCUUCCUUCCUUUGGCUGUUGCUCCUGGCAAGCACAGCCAGAGAAAUAUUAGGCUCCUCUGCAGCAGAUCCCUGGCAUCCAAUUGUGAAGCUGAGAGGCAGAUGUGUUGGAGGGUGCUCCCUGAUUCCUGGCUUACCCCUUGAUGAUGUGUUCUUGGGCUGAUUCCUGUACUGGCCUGUGGUUCCCCACCUCUCUGAUGGUGGCAGAAGCAGCAGCUCCCGGGAGGAUCAGUUCUGUGGUGGUGUCUGGGAGCCAUUCCUGGAGCCAGGCUAGGACUGGCUCCUGUGGCCCUUCUACUGGUUUCGUAAGCCCCAUGUGUUAAAUACCUUUUUGCUUAAAAUCUAUAAAGUGGCUUAUGUCUCCUGCAACUUAACUCUGUCUGAUAGAGGAGACGAAGCUGAACAUACUGCUCCUGCUGAGGACAGAGCAUGGAAGGGCAGAUGCAUUCCUUGGCGCCUACAUGGAAUUCAGUGGGACAGAAUUACUUUUGCGAGGUCAGCUGGCAAGUUCCCUUGCCUGGACUAACUCACUGAAGGUCUGGACUUUAUUCACAAGCAAAACUACCACAUCCUCUUAUAGAAAAUAUUCGCAUUAUGUUAUUCACUUCACUGUUUGUGUGGUACUUCCUGCAUGUCCUCAGUCAUCACAUCCUGUAGCUCCGACAGGAGCAAGAAGUAAGCCUGAUAUUAUAAUGCUCAUUUUCCCAAUUAAGACACCAACGUUCAGAGAGUACGAUCCAAGGGACCCUGAUGAAUAUCUCGCCAGGGCUCCAAAAUGUCAGACCUUGCAGUGCCUGCAAUUCCAAAUCCAGUUCCUGGAUGAAGCACUGAACUCUCUACAGGUUCUCCUUUUAAAAUCAAAUUCUCUGUGAUGGAGGGGCGUACACUGAGUUCGUAAUACGCCACUGUGAACGGUUCCUGAUCUUGUCCAUGAUAAAAGGGAUGUGGUGGCAGAGAAGCCCUCCAUGCCUACAAGGUGGGGAGUGGGGGAUGAGUUUGAGAAGGCACUUGCCAGGAGAGGAACCAACCAACGCCAGUGUUAUAUUUCUUGGACAUCGUAACGUUUCUAAUGGCCAGCCCUGCUGUCACGCAUCUUUUCAGGAUGGGAGAAGGUCACAGAUCUGCUGUAGGGACAGCCAUCACAGCUGGAGGGGAGAAGGGUGGAUUUGAGAGUGUGAAACUGGCACAGGAGCCAGCCUCCUUCCUUUGCCAGGAAGCUUGGCAGGAUCGGGCCCCCAGAACACCCUGUGUGUGCCGGGCCCUGCCAGGGACCCUGAAGCUAGAAUGGCAACAUUACCAGCCUAGGUAAAGAGACGACAGCUAAGGAGGAUUUAUUUUUUCAGCGGUUUACUGGAUGAUUUCCCCAUGCUCAGACAAGGCUAUCAACAGGGGCAGCCUUGCACGUCUCCAGCACGCCUCACCCUUCCUGCGAACUGCAUUCGAGUGGUGUUUGCUGUCGGCAUUGAUGUCCUGUCCCCUACCAGCGUGGCUGACAAAGAGAACUCACAGGAGACAGCCCAGAGCCAACCAGGAGACGCUAACCCAGGAAGAUGGAACUGCAGAACGCAUCACCUGGUUGAAGCCAGCCGAAACUUCAUUUCUCCCCUUUAUUAAUGUUUUCCAGAGGAGGCACUGGACUCGGGGGUGGCUCACAAAAGAAUUUGAUAGGAAGAUGUGACACCUCAUCUUAAAUUCCUUCACUGUAUUUCUGAAGUUGACGGGCGUGUUGAGGAGUGAGGCUAAUAAAGUCCGCUGUCCCCUCCAAGCGGACUAAUCAGACGUGAAGUCUUGGCAAGAGAUAACCAGGUUAGAGGAGAGCCAAAAUGACAUCACAUCAACUCCAUUUCAGAUCCUGUACACACCAGUGCCUAUCACUGCUCCAGGUGGCUGGCAUCCUCCGCACACAAGAGAAAAUCAGAACACCAAAGGCCAGUCGGAAACUUUUCAAAUUCAGUUCCUUAGGGAUGACAAGGGUGAGUUGGAGCAGAGGCCUGAACAAAAGGAAGACGAAAUCGUCUGUUUCCAACCGCUUGUCUGGUCAACUGUGG
ensembl:lncRNA